rnacentral:tRNA from 1 species
GCUCGUGUAGCUCGUGGUAGAGCGCUGCCUGUACAAGGCAGAGGUCCUAGGUUCGAAUCCUAGCAUGCGCA